GGGGAUUUAGCUCAGCGGUAGAGCGUUUGCCUGACAAGCUCAAGGCCCUGGGUUCGGUCCCCAGCUCCG
rnacentral:tRNA from 1 species